AGAGUUUGAUCCUGGCUCAGAAUUAACGCUGGCGGCGUGCCUAACACAUGCAAGUCGAGCGAGAAAGAGGUUCGCCUCAAGUACAGCGGCAAACGGGUGAGUAACGCGUAGGAAUCUACCUUUCGGUGAAGAAUACCCUCGAGAAAUCGAGAUUAAUACUGCAUACGCCUAACGGAGAAAGAUGGCCUCUUUGCUGUCGC
rnacentral:rRNA from 1 species